GAUGAAGAACGUAGCGAAAUGCGAUAAGUAGUGUGAAUUGCAGAAUUCAGUGAAUCAUCGAAUCUUUGAACGCACAUUGCGCCCCAUGGUAUUCCGUGGGGCAUGCCUGUUCGAGCGUCAUUUACCCCCUCAAGCUCCGCUUGGUGUUGGGCGUCUGUCCCGCUUCGCGCGCGGACUCGCCCCAAAGGUACUGGCAGCGGUCGUGCCAGCUUCUCGCGCAGCACAUUGCGCUUCUCGAGGCACCGGUGGGCCCGCGUCCAUCAAGCUCACCCCCCCAGUUUGACCUCGGAUCAGGUAGGGAUACCCGCUGAACUUAAGCAUAUCAAUAAGCGGAGGA
rnacentral:misc_RNA from 1 species